rnacentral:SRP_RNA from 1 species
GAGCUGUCAUGGCAUUUGUCGGGAACGUUAAUACUUCGGUAAAUUCGCUACGGCCACUACUUACAGUUUGAGGUGUCCGGUUCGAUCCUCGCGGUCGGCAUUUCACAGCUACGAGAAAUCUGGCUCGUGGAUGCCAGCAAUGAACAGUGUUUCCACUGAAGGGUAGAAAUACAGCACAGUUCACUGUCCGUGGGGAGGCGAACGGGGUCGCAUCUUGCUGGUUUCCGUCAGGAUGGGGUAGUCGUCGUGGUGAAUUAGUUGAUUGUGACUGACAACUU